UACAGAGGUCCCAAGCGUUGUUCGGAUUCACUGGGCGUAAAGGGUGCGUAGGCGGUCGGGUAAGUCUGAUGUGAAAUCUCAGAGCUCAACUCUGAAACUGCAUUGGAUACUAUUCGGCUUGAGGUCUGGAGGGGGGACUGGAAUUCUCGGUGUAGCAGUGAAAUGCGUAGAUAUCGAGAGGAACACCAGUGGCGAAGGCGAGUCCCUGGACAGAUCCUGACGCUGAGGCACAAAAGCUAGGGGAGCAAACAGG
rnacentral:rRNA from 1 species